rnacentral:tRNA from 1 species
GUUCCUGUAGUUGAGAUUUGACAACAAUGGCUUUUCAGGCCGUAGGUCUUGGAGAAAAGCCAAGCGGGAAUU